rnacentral:rRNA from 1 species
AUUAGAUACCUUGGUAGUCCACACUGUAACCGAUGGAUACUAGGUGUAGGGGGUAUUAAGCCUUCUGUGCCGUCGCAAACGCAGUAAGUAUCCCACCUGGGGAGUACGACCGCAAGGUUGAAACUCAAAGGAAUUGACGGGGGCCCGCACAAGCAGUGGAGUAUGUGGUUUAAUUCGAAGCAACGCGAAGAACCUUACCAGGGCUUGACAUAUACAGGAAUAUAUAAGAGAUCAUAUAGCUCUUCGGAGUCUGUAUACAGGCGGUGCAUGGUUGUCGUCAGCUCGUGUCGUGAGAUGUUGGGUUAAGUCCCGCAACGAGCGCAACCCCUGUUUCUAGUUGCCAGCGAGUAAAGUCGGGAACUCUAGAGAGACUGCCGGUGAUAAAUCGGAGGAAGGUGGGGACGACGUCAAAUCAUCAUGCCCUUUAUGUCCUGGGCUACACACGUACUACAAUGGCUAUAACAGAGAGAAGCGAAGCAGUGAUGUGGAGCGAAACUCAAAAAAAUAGUCUCAGUUCGGCCUGAAGGGUGAAAUUCGCCUUCAUGAAGCCGGAAUUGCUAGUAAUGGCAGGUCAGCAUACUCCCGUGAAUACGUUCCCGGGCCUUGUACACACCGCCCGUCCCACCAUGAGAGUUGGGAAUACCCGAAGCCUGUGAGCUAACAUCUAUGAGCCAGCAGUCGAAGGUAGAAUCAAUGAUUGGGGUGAAGUCG